ensembl:snRNA U6 U6 spliceosomal RNA
GUGCAACUUUGGCAGCACAUAUACUAAAAUUGGAAUGAUACAAAGAAGAUUCGCACAGUCGCUGGGCAAGAAUGACAUGCAAUUUAGUGAAGCUUUCCAUAUUUUU